rnacentral:tRNA from 1 species
GGAGAGGUGCUGGAGUGGCUGAACAGGGUCGCCUGCUAAGCGACUGUACCGACAAAAAUCGGUACCGUGGGUUCGAAUCCCACCCUCUCCGCCA